rnacentral:rRNA from 1 species
AGUGAACGCUGGCGGCGUGCUUAACACAUGCAAGUCGAACGAGAACGGAUUAUAGCUUGCUAUAAUUGUCAGCUAAGUGGCGCACGGGUGAGUAAUAUAUAGGUAAUGUGCCCUAGAGAAGAGGAUAACAGUUGGAAACGACUGCUAAGACUCUAUAUGCCUUUAAGACAGAAGUCUGCAAGGGAAAUAUUUAUAGCUCUAGGAUCAGCCUGUACAGUAUCAGUUAGUUGGUGAGGUAAUGGCUCACCAAGACAAUGACACUUAACUGGUUUGAGAGGAUGAUCAGUCACACUGGAACUGAGACACGGUCCAGACUCCUACGGGAGGCAGCAGUGGGGAAUAUUGGACAAUGGGAGGAAGCCUGAUCCAGCCAUCCCGCGUGUAGGAAUAAGGCCCUAUGGGUUGUAAACUACUUUUAUUAGGGAAGAAAACUUUAGAUUUAUCAGAGCUUGACGGUACCUAAGGAAUAAGCACCGGCUAACUCCGU